rnacentral:rRNA from 1 species
UACGUAGGGUGCGAGCGUUGCCCGGAUUUAUUGGGCGUAAAGGGCGCGCAGGCGGCUACGCACGUCCGUUGUGAAAUCGCUCGGCUCAACUGGGCGGGGUCAGCGGAUACGGCGUAGCUGGAGCAAGCUAGGGGGCAAUGGAAUUCCCGGUGUAGUGGUGGAAUGCGUAGAUGUCGGGAGGAACACCAGUGGCGAAGGCGGUUGCCUGGAGCUUUGCUGACGCUGAGGCGCGAAAGCGUGGGGAGCGAUCCGG